UACGGAGGGUGCGAGCGUUAAUCGGAAUUACUGGGCGUAAAGCGUGCGUAGGCGGUUAUUUAAGCGAGAUGUGAAAUCCCGGGGCUCAACCUCGGAACUGCAUUUCGAACUGGGUAACUAGAGUACUGUAGAGGGUGGUGGAAUUUCCAGUGUAGCGGUGAAAUGCGUAGAGAUUGGAAGGAACAUCAGUGGCGAAGGCGGCCACCUGGACAGAUACUGACGCUGAGGCACGAAAGCGUGGGGAGCGAAC
rnacentral:rRNA from 1 species